rnacentral:rRNA from 1 species
CGACCCCCAGGUCAGGCAGGAUCACCCGUUGAGUUUAAGCAUAUCAAUAAGUGGAGGAAAAAAAACUUACCAGGAUUCCCCUAGUAAUGGUGAGCAAACCAGAAAGAGCCCAGCUUGAGAAUUGGGUGCCCCUGACUUUCAAAUUGUAGUCUGGAGAAGCGUCCUUAGCGGUGAACUGAGCCCAAGUCCCCUGGAAAGGGGCAUCGAAGAGGGUGAGAGCCCCAAUGUGCUUGGACCCUAUCGCACCAUGAGGCACUAUCCGUAAGUCGGGUUGUUUGGGAAUGCAGCCCCAAUCCGAUGAUAAAUUUCAUCCAAGGCUGAAUACGGGUGAGAGAUCGAUAGCGAACAAGUACCGCGAGGGAAAGAUGAAAAGGACUUUGAAAAAAGACUCAAAGAGUGCUUGAAAUUGUCAGAAGAGAAGCGGAUGGGGGCCGGUGAUGCGCCCUUGUCAAAUGUGGAAUGGCGAGAGUCGAUCCUCUGAUCGGCUCGAGGCGUGGACCAACAUGGGUCACGACGGUGGCCCAAGUUUGAGCUUUUGAUGUGCCCGUGAAGAUGUCAUCGUUGUGAUCGUGGAAUGCAACAUGCACCGUCUUGCAUGCCUCGGCACCCGUGUGCUCCCAGCUUCGACCUGCGGGCUCCCCAUCCAGGCCGUCUUGAAACACGGACCAAAGAGUCUAACAUGCGUGUGAGUCAACGAGCCAAAAAACCUGGAAGGCGUAAGGAAGGCGAUUGGUGGUCCCUCGCGGGUGCACCGCCGACUGACUUUGAUCUUUUGAAAAGGGUUCGAAUGCGAGCAAGCCCGUCGAAACCCGAAAGAUGGUGAACUAUGCCUGAGCAAGGCAAAGCCAGAGGAAACUUUGGUGAAGGCCCGUAGUGAUAUUGACGUGCAAAUCAUUCGUCUGACUUAGGUAUAGGGGUGAAAGACUAAUCAAACCAUCUAGUAGCUGGUUCCCUCUGAAGUUUCCCUCAGGAUAGUUAGAGCCCCUGUCGAGUUCUAUCGGGUAAAGGCAAUGAUUAGAGGGAUCGGGGGCCCAACGCCCUCGACCUGUUUUCAAACUUUAAAUAGGUAGGACGAUGCGACUGCUUUGUUGAGCAGCACCACAGAAUCGAGAGCUCCAAGUGGGCCAUUUUUCGUAAGCAAGAUUAGUGAUGUGGGAUGAACUGGAAGUCAGGUUAUGGUGCCUAACUAUGCACUAACCCAGAACCCACAAAGAGUGUUGGUCGAUUAAGACAGCAGGACGGUGGUCAUGGAAGUCGAAAUCCACUAAGGAGUGUGUAACAACUCACCUGCUGAAUCAACUAGCCUCGAAAAUGGAUGGUGCUUAAGUGCGCGGCCUAUACUCGAUCGUCAGGGCAAGUGCCAGGCCCCAAUGAGUAGGAGGGGGUGGUAUUCACUGUAAAACUCGAGGCACAAGCUCAGGCGAAGUGACCGUCAGUGCAGAUCUUGGUGGUAGUAGCAAAUAUUCAAAUGAGAACUUUGAAGGCCGAAGAGGGGAAAGGUUCCAUGCGAACGACACUUACACAUGGGUUAGUCGAUCCUAAGAGAUGAGGAAAGCCAGUCCGACAGUGUGUCCCCUAUGAGCUUCAAAAAAGAAUCAUGUUAAAAUUCUUAAAUCGGGACACGACGACUGAUGGUAACGUUAGGGAGUUUGAAGACAUCUGUGGGGGCCUCAAAAAGAGUUAUCUUUUCUGUUUAACGGCCCGCCCACCCUGGAAACGGCUCAGUCGAAGGUAGGGUCUAGUGGCUGGAAGAGCACUGCACAUCACGUGGCGUUCGAUGCGUCCCCCGUGACAUUUGAAAAUUUGAAGGACUGAGCACCGUCCGCAUCUGAUCAUACUCAUAAUCCCAUUAGGUCUCCAAGGUGAACAGCUCUGGUUGAGGGAGCAAUGUAGGCAAGGGAAGUCGACAAAAGGGAUCCGUAACCUCGGGAAAAAGAUUGGCUCUGGGGGCUGGGCAUGGGGGUCCCAGUCUCAAACCUAUCAACUACCGGUGCACUGCUCGAGCUACUCCCACAGUGAGAAUGGGUCACCAUUUGUCGAUCGAGGUACAGACUGGGAACGACUCCCUCGAGGGCCUUCCCCAAGUGUCGAACAGUCGACUCAAAACUGGUACGAACAAGGGGAGUCCGACUAUUUAAUUAAAACAAAGCAUUGUGAUGGUCCCUGUGGAUGCUCACACAAUGUGAUUUCUGCCCAGUGCUCUGAAUGUGAAAGUGAAGAAAUUCAACCAAGCGUGGGUAAACGGCGGGAGUAACUAUGACUCUCGUAAGGUAGCCAAAUGCCUCGUCAUCUAAUUAGUGAUGCACAUGAAUGGAUUAAUGAGAUUCCCACUGUCUCUGUCUACUAUCUAGCAAAACCACAGCUAAAAGAAUGGGCUUGGUGGAAUCAGCAGGGAAAGAAGACCUUGUUGAGCAUGACUCUAGUCUGACUUUGUGAAAUGACUUGAGAGGUGUAGGAUAAGUGGAAGCCUUCGAGUGAAAUUGAAAUACCACUACUUUUAAUGUUAUUUUACUUAUUCCGUGAAUCAGAGGUGGGGCACGACCCCUUCUUUUGAACCCCAGGUCAACCUUAGUUGGUCGAUCCAGACGGAAGACAUUGUCAAGUGGGGAGUUUGGUUAAGGCGGCACAUCUAUUAAGAGAUAACGCAGGUGUCCUGAGAUGAGCUCAAUGAAAACAAAAAUCUCGUGUGGAACAAAAGGGUAAAAGCUGAUUUGAUUCUGAUUUCCAGUACAAAUAGGAACUGUGAAAACGUGGCUUAUCGAUCCUUUAAGCUUUUCAAAUUUGAAGCUAGAGGUGUCAGAAAAGUUACCACAGGGAUAACUGGCUUGUGGUAGUCAAGCGUUCAUAGCGACGUUUCUUUUUGAUCCUUCGAUGUCGACUCUUCCUAUCAUUGUGAAGCAGAAUUCACCAAGUGUUGGAUUGUUCACCCACCAAUAGAGAACAUGAGCUGGGUUUAGAUCGUCGUAAGAUAGGUUAGUUUUACCCUACUAAUGGCGGCAUUGUGAUAGUAAUUCAACCUAGUACGAGAAGAAUCGUUGAUUCGCACAAUUGGUCAUCACGCUUAGUUGAAAAGCCAAUGGCACGAAGCUACCGUGUGCUGGAUUAUGACUGAAUGCCUCUAAGUCAAAAUCCAAGUUAGAAACAACACGUGCACCUGCUUCUCGAUUGUCGACCCUCAAUAGAGGCCCAUGGCCCCCGAGGGCACGUGUCGUAGGUGCAGCCCCAGCGGUAGGCGAGCCGCACGGGCCUCCUUGGAGCUCAAUUGCUACCGAGUGGCAGGUAGAAUCCUUUGUAGAGGACUUAAAUACGUGAUAGGGUAUUGUAAGUGGUAGAGUGGCCUUGCUACCAGGAUCCACUGAGAUUCAGCCCUUUGUCACUUCGAUUCAU